UCACUUCAUCGGGGAGUUCAAGCCAAAAUACUUUGUUUACAACUUCAAAUUUCAGCAACUUGAGCAGUUCUGUUUCUCAGACUAGAUUUUUGACAUCACAACCUACAAAUGAAAGAACUUCAUCAGGUGCAAGAGACCAAGAAACUUUGAUUACAACCCAGAAUUUCAGCACCUCAAUCAGUUCUGAUUCUGGAACAAGUAAUGAGGGUUCAAAAAGGACAAAAAACUUUACUUCAUCAGAAACUACAGACCAAAACGGUUUGUCUCCUAGUCCUACAUUCAGCAGGUCAAGCAGAACUGAUCCUCAAACAAGUUAUUUGACGUCACCACCUUCAAAUGACAGCAUUUCAUCAGGAACAACAAAUGGAGAUAAUUUGUUUACAAACUCCAGUUUGAGUGAUUCAAGAAAUUCUGUGCCACCAAUAUAUUUGACAUCACCACCUACAAACAACAUUUCAUUGGGGACUGAACAGCCAGAAAGUCAAAAAACAAGCACCAGUAUCAGCAACUUGAGCAGUUCUUCUGCUCAAACAAGUC